rnacentral:rRNA from 1 species
GAGUUUGAUCCUGGCUCAGGACGAACGCUGGCGGCGUGCUUAACACAUGCAAGUCGAGCGGUAAGGCCUUUCGGGGUACACGAGCGGCGAACGGGUGAGUAACACGUGGGUGAUCUGCCCUGCACUUCGGGAUAAGCCUGGGAAACUGGGUCUAAUACCGGAUAUGACCUCCUAUCGCAUGGUGGGUGGUGGAAAGAUUUAUCGGUGCAGGAUGGGCCCGCGGCCUAUCAGCUUGUUGGUGGGGUAAUGGCCUACCAAGGCGACGACGGGUAGCCGACCUGAGAGGGUGACCGGCCACACUGGGACUGAGACACGGCCCAGACUCCUACGGGAGGCAGCAGUGGGGAAUAUUGCACAAUGGGCGAAAGCCUGAUGCAGCGACGCCGCGUGAGGGAUGACGGCCUUCGGGUUGUAAACCUCUUUCAGCAGGGACGAAGCGCAAGUGACGGUACCUGCAGAAGAAGCACCGGCUAACUACGUGCCAGCAGCCGCGGUAAUACGUAGGGUGCAAGCGUUGUCCGGAAUUACUGGGCGUAAAGAGUUCGUAGGCGGUUUGUCGCGUCGUUUGUGAAAACCAGCAGCUCAACUGCUGGCUUGCAGGCGAUACGGGCAGACUUGAGUACUGCAGGGGAGACUGGAAUUCCUGGUGUAGCGGUGAAAUGCGCAGAUAUCAGGAGGAACACCGGUGGCGAAGGCGGGUCUCUGGGCAGUAA